rnacentral:rRNA from 1 species
UACGUAGGGGCUAGCGUUGUCCGGAUUUAUUGGGCGUAAAGAGCGUGUAGGCGGCCAGGUAGGUCUGCUGUGAAAACUCGAGGCUUAACCUCGAGAUGUCGGCGGAAACCAUCUGGCUAGAGUCCGGAAGAGGAGAGUGGAAUUCCUGGUGUAGCGGUGAGAUGCGCAGAUAUCAGGAAGAACACCCGUGGCGAAGGCGGCUCUCUGGGACGGUACUGACGCUGAGACGCGAAAGCGUGGGGAGCGAACAGG